AUGUCUGGCCUCCUCCGGUGGAGGCGCCUCGCCGCCGCAGCCACGCGCGCCGCCUCCACCCUGACCGCAGCCGAAUGCUCCCCUGCCAUCGCGGCGGUCCCGCCACCGCACCGGCUCCUCCAGGAUCGGCGCAAGUGGGAGGGCCCCUCGUCCUCCGGGGGCGGCUCCUCCUCGUCCUCCUCUAACGACGAGCCGGAGCCGCGGCGUAUCCGCGCGGAGGCCCACUGCCCGCGCUGCUCCAAGCACAUGGACAUCCUCUUCUCCCACCGCGCCCACCCCCCUUCAGCCCCCGCCGCUGUCGGCGGCUAUCAGACGCUCAACCUCUGUCCCAACUGCCGCACCGCCUACUUCUUCCACCCCAACCACCUCGCGCCACUUCAGGGCACCUUCGUCGAGAUCGGCCGCGUCCGGGCUGACCUGCCCCCGGACGGUGUCAGGGUCAGGGACCCCUCCUCAUGGGAAGCCAUCCGUGCGAGCUCGUCUUCGCGCGACGAUGGGGAUGGUAGUGGCGUGGCCGUGCAUGUGCCGCCCGGGCCACCGUUCCACCCUAGCCUUAACGUCGUCCGCGUAGCCGGAGGCGGUGGCGGGGGAGGAACUGCUGGCGGUGGGGGCGAGGAGGGAGGGGGAAAAGACGGAUGGGGCGGGUCGAACCUUGGGAAGGAUUUUCCGACACCUAAGGAGAUUUCCAAGGGGCUCGAUAAGUAUGUGAUUGGGCAAGACCGAGCCAAGAAGGUGCUAUCUGUUGCAGUGUACAACCACUAUAAACGUAUAUACCAUCAGUCUCUACAGAAAGGGUCUGGAGCAGAUUUGGGUUGUUCUGAUGGAGAAGCUGAUGGUGAAGACAAUGUUGAACUAGAGAAAAGCAAUAUACUGUUAAUGGGCCCUACUGGUUCAGGUAAAACUUUGCUUGCAAAGACAUUAGCUCGGUUUGUAAAUGUGCCAUUUGUAAUUGCUGAUGCAACAACAUUGACCCAGGCAAGGUAUGUAGGAGAAGAUGUAGAAUCUAUAUUGUACAAGUUACUUACGGUGGCAGAUUUUAAUGUGCAAGCAGCACAACAAGGGAUGGUGUACAUUGAUGAAGUUGAUAAGAUCACUAAGAAGGCUGAGAGCCUUAACAUCAGUAGAGAUGUAUCAGGCGAAGGUGUUCAGCAGGCUUUGUUGAAAAUGCUGGAAGGCACGAUAGUCAAUGUCCCUGAGAAAGGAGCAAGGAAGCAUCCUCGUGGCGAUAAUAUACAGAUAGAUACGAAGGAUAUUCUGUUUAUAUGCGGGGGUGCUUUCAUUGACUUGGAGAAAACUAUAUCAGAGAGGCGGCAGGAUUCUUCUAUUGGAUUUGGGGCACCUGUCCGUGCAAGCAUGAGGACUAGUGGUAUUUCAAGUGCUCAAGUGACAUCGUCCUUGUUAGAAUCAGUUGAGAGCGGUGAUCUUAUAGCAUAUGGACUCAUUCCGGAGUUCAUUGGACGUUUUCCUAUCCUUGUCAGCUUGGCAGCACUAAAUGAGGACCAACUUGUUCAGGUUCUCACCGAGCCAAAGAAUGCUCUAGGUAAACAAUUCAAGAAGUUGUUCAGCAUGAAUAAUGUUAAGCUUCACUUCACGGAUGCUGCACUACAAAUAAUUGCCCAGAAGGCAAUGUGCAAAAAUACAGGUGCACGGGGCUUAAGGACUAUCCUUGAGAAUAUUCUCAUGGAUUCCAUGUAUGAGAUUCCAGAUACAAAAUCUGGAGAGAAGCGAAUUGACGCAGUGGUUGUAGAUGAAGGUGCAGUAGGAUUGGUGGACCGACCUGGCUGUGGAGCUAAGAUCCUUUACGGCGAUGGUGCAUUUGAUCGUUAUCUAUCCCAGAUAAAGGCAAUGGGAGACGGAGCAGGAAGCGAAGUGGACGGCGAUCCUGACCUUUCUUCGUCAAGAGCCAUGAGCAUGUGA
rnacentral:rRNA from 1 species